UUGAAUCAGUAGUUGCCGUUCGAUCACUGAUGUUAAGCAACGUCGAACCUGGUCAGUACCUAGAUGGGUGACCAAUUGGGAAUACCAGGAGCUGUAAG